GGAGAGGUGGCUGAGUGGUUGAAAGCGCCGCUCUCGAAAAGCGGUAUGCCCGCAAGGGCAUCGUGAGUUCGAAUCUCACCCUCUCCG
rnacentral:tRNA from 1 species